rnacentral:misc_RNA from 1 species
GAAAUGCGAUACGUAGUGUGAAUUGCAGAAUUCCGUGAAUCAUCGAAUCUUUGAACGCAUCUUGCACUCUGUUUACGCAGAGUAUGCCUGUUUGAGAAUCUAUAGACUUCUUCACCCCUUGUGGGUGAGAUUUGGGUUUAUCACUGCAAAGUGAUUUGCCUUAAACCUAUAGGCUGAUACUGUAACAUCAUUAUAGUAAAGUGCCAAAGUGUAUGAAGGGUUCGCCCACUUCCUUUGGUGCUAAGCUUAGUUGCAGGACUGGUCCCAACGGGAGUAAUCCCAAUUAGACUAGCUCUUCGUGGUUAGUCUGAAACUUUGGUCUCAAAUCAGGUAGGAAGACCCGCUGAACUUAA